rnacentral:rRNA from 1 species
GGACCCGCACAAGCAGUGGAGCAUGUGGUUUAAUUCGACGCAACGCGAAGAACCUUACCAGGGUUUGACAUCCUGCGAAUCUCUUGGAAACGAGAGAGUGCCUUCGGGAACGCAGUGACAGGUGGUGCAUGGCUGUCGUCAGCUCGUGUCGUGAGAUGUUGGUUAAGUCCCGCAACGAGCGCAACCCACGUCGUUAGUUGCCAGCAUUUAGUUGGGCACUCUAGCGAGACCGCCGGUGAUAAACCGGAGGAAGGUGUGGAUGACGUCAAGUCAUCAUGCCCCUUACAUCCUGGGCUACACACGUACUACAAUGCUACGGACAAAGGGCAGCAAGUUCGCGAGGACAAGCA